ACACUGACGGGUAGUUUACCUCGUCGACUAGCGAAAAGGCGCAUGCGUACUCGCGUCGCGACGCUACAGUCGUAAACAACAUUUUUUCAAUCCCGAAUCGUCACGAGUUUACGUAUACAAGGUAAACCGUCUGUCUCAGUGUUCGCAAUAUUAUUUUUUUGUUUCCUCGCGCAAUUCCCCGAAGAAAAUGAGGUCAAACUUAUGCUAUUCCGCUACGUAAUUCGUGGGCUUGGUCGAGUUUGGCAUGAGGUGACGUCACACCGAUCGUUCUGGAAGGAACGCUGCAGAACAAUAAUGGCGGACUUAUACGGCAAGUAUAAUUGCACCUAUUGCCAAGAAGACAUUACGGGUUUACGCGUGAAAUGCGUAGAAUGCACAGAGUUCGAUCUGUGCCUGCAGUGUUUCUCAGCCGGUGCUGAAAUUGGACAACAUAAAAAUGACCACUCUUAUCAAUUCAUGGACUCUGGUACGAUUAGUAUCUUCAAUGGUAGAGGUAAUUGGACAGCUAGAGAACAUCUCAGGCUCCUUGAUGCUAUCGAACAAUUUGGGUUUGGCAACUGGGAGGAUAUUAGUAAACACAUUGAGACACGGACUCCUGAGGAGGCUAAGGAAGAAUAUAUUGCAAGGUAUCUCGAUGGAAAUAUUGGUAAACAUACGUGGCCUCCCACAGAAAGCUAUAAACCAAAUCUCACUGAUCAGACUAGCUCAGAUUAUGGGCCGUUAUCCCCUGACUUAACGUCUCGAUUGCCACCACUGGAUAUUACACCAGAAGAAGCAGCUCAAUUGGGUUACAUGCCACAGCGAGAUGAUUUUGAGAGAGACUAUAAUCAUGAAGCUGAAUCCCUUGUAUCCUCACUGUUCUUAAACCCAGCUGAGGAUGAUGAUCUUGAUAUCGCCUUAAAACUUGCACAAGUUGAUAUGUAUACCAACAAUUUACGAGAGAGAGCAAGAAGAAAACGUGUCGUACGAGAUUAUCAGCUUGUGUCGUCAUUUUUUGCGUCUUCUAGAAAAGAUAGGGUAGUCAAGAAAAAACAUACAAAAGAGGAAAAGGAAUUUAGGGAAAGGAUGCGUGUAUUUGCUCAGUUUUAUACGGCACAGGAAUAUGAACAGUUCCUAACUAAUCUCGAAAGGGAACGAGAACUUCGAUUACGAUUAUCGGAGCUCUACCGAUACCGGGACAAUGGCAUUACCAGACACGAGGAAUGUGCCCAUUUCGAGCAAGUAAUCGCGCAAACCCAGGGCUCCACUGAUGCUGCGGAUCAUUGGACGGAAAAGAAAUCUGCAUUUGUGAACAGAUUGUAUCAGUUUGCAUUUCACUUAGGGCAGCAGUGGGUCGUCCACACCAAUACACCGCCCAACCUCAAAAAAAAAGACCGGGGAGCAAUACCUACUGCGCACUGCCAACGUGUUGUAUCAGUGAUAUUUAAGGGAAUGGUUGACACAAAUAUAACGAAGCGUUAUAUAUAUUCUUCUGCUGCACGAGACGUAGACCUUAAAAUAUAUCGACCGAUUAUACCGCCGAAGUCUAAGAACUAUCAGUCGUUAGGGGACUGACAGUUUUUACACGAAGUAGCUUUAAGUAGGACAAACAAAUAUUGUAAAGAGUUUAUCACACCAAGCCGCUACAAACAGAGAUCGAUGCAAGAUUGGAAGUUACCUAUCGUCGUAGGGGUAGCAACAGCGUAGAAAUGUUUCGAUGUGGUAAUCUUUGGAUUACAGAGACGAAGAAAAAAGUUACUCUUUCACCGAGCGAAGGUCCAGUGUAAGGGGAGACUCGGGCAGCAGCAGUUCCACAGUCAGUCAAAUCAGUCACAAUCGGACGAUGACUCCAGCCAAUCCGUGGGCGGAGCCGGAUAGCAAUUCGAAUACUUCACAUCAAAACACUACCAACUCCAACAAUCCAGUUACUACAACUUUAAGAUCCUCUUCGAUGGGAUUGGGAGAACCAGAGGAGAGAGACAUAGAGAUGGAAGCUGCUGUUCAUCUGCUCACCAAACAAGAAAAGUCCUUAUGUCUUCAGCUCGACCUCAAACCAACACAGUAUUUGACGCAGAAGACUCUGCUGCUACAGGAAUACUUAAAUGGGAACAGAAGAUCAGGUGUAGUGCCACAGUCUGAACCAGAGAGUAAGAUCCUCCAUUACUUGGUAUCCAAUGGAUGGAUUGCGGCUAACUAAUUAAAAUCAUUAACCAUAUUUCACCUCUAAGUCAUCCCUUGUUGAUUUAAGCUAAGUUCUAGGGAUAAUUAAAUAUGAAAUUGAAUUAAUCGUCGUAUGGUACAGAUGGAAAGGUCGCGACUUAAUAGCUGAUGCUGAUGGUUUAACUGCUUCCAUUUUGGAACCUUAUAUCAGCUAAUUAUGAGAAAGCAUGAUCUUUCCUCCCUAUCACAUUAUUACCGUACACACAUGCGAUAAAUUUAAGAAACCCGACGCAUUCAUUUUGCACUGCGUUGACAAUUCCCUAAUUCAAAUUGCUCGAUUGCGAGUAAACACGUGUUUAUGAUACUAGCUUCCCAUCAACCCCUCCUUAAGUGUAUCAUUUGACACUGCCCCAACAAUAUUUUAAUAUAUUGCUCAAUAUAAUCUUCCAUUAAGUUAUUUUCUCGUAUAGUUUAUUUAUUGUACGUUUUUUCUGUCUGCUCGAAACAUCGUUUGUUACCAUUUUUAAAGAUAAGGAAACAACGAAGCUCUAGAAAAACUGUAUUCACUCUGUAAUAACUCGCAUUGCCUGCUGAUGCUACUGAUAUAAUCAAGGCUUAGACCUUCGUAAAGUCUCCGUGAAAAAAUAAUGAAAGAACAAAAAAAGAAACAAUUGUUUUCUAUUAACAGGAAAAAAAAAGAAUUACAUUUUUCUUUAUUCUGAUUCAUAUUUAGAUACAAUUAGCACGUUGAGAAUAAUUUAAUCCCUAUUUGACGAUGAAAAAGUUGAAAAGUAUAUCACAAAGUUUCGCAGUGAGACUAUAAUGUGUCAAAUAAUCAGUCUCUAACAUUCAACCGAGGGUCGUUAGUCUAUGAUUAUUAAUAAUAUUAUCCAUACUCAAAAGGUAUGGUUUUGUAAAAGCAUUCAAUGGGGUACUCUUAUUUUGGUAUAUUGUAAAGCAAAAAAAGAGGAAAAGAAAGAAAAAAGGUUCGUGUAUAACCUCUGGAACCUAAUCUCGCUCUUUAAGAAAUAAGUAUAACACAAUUGCUGGAAAAUCAGAUAUAAGUCUGUACGAACGAUUAAUCGUUCAUAAUCGGCAAUGGGGUAUGAUUAAUGUUACAGCGAUCAGAGAGUACAGCAUCGCUUAAUUAAUUAAGUUUUGUCGAGGUCUAUUUCCUUAUUGCUAAAGAAUGGUGCAAAUAUGACAGAAGAGACGCUAAGAAGGUUGGUCUCGCUUCGCCGUAACACGUCAUUUAGACAAUUUAAAUUGUUGCCGCUCUAUAGCAUCUGUGUGUGUAUAUAUAUGCACAUGUAUCAUAUAUGCAUACAUAUAUAUAUACGAGAAUAGUACCUUAUUCUUACAAUUAGUCACAAUUAAUAACGAGAUAGACUUGUAAAGCACAAGAGGGGAAAAAAAAUUACGCACCAUUCUCUGACAUUGAGAGGCGUGCAUGUAUAGUGUAAUUACAUUAUGGUGUUCAAUACCUUACAAAAUGUUAUUGUAAGAAAGGUUAAAACGAAAAAGGAAAAAAAAAAGAUACGUCACUCUUUCAAAAAUAUAUUCUCUCACCUCGAAUUUACUUGGAAUUAAAUCGUAUAAGUAUGUCGUUGAUGACUAAGACGUAUGAAAUUAUUUCUCAUUUAACUAAUUGAUAGAAAUCUUUUUUUUCCAUGUAUCGAUCUAUGCACUCACUUUUGUUCUGGGAUGUCAUAAUAAGUCCAAGUUAAAGGGUUCUUUACAGUGCAAUACAAUGUAUAAUAUUGGCGGAGAGGCGUACGUUUUUCCAAUGCUAAAAUCACGACUCCCAGAUGAACCUGUAGUAUUUCCCAUUGUAAUUCAUGUCAUCGUGAAUUAUUUUAAUGACGUAGCAACAUAAUAGGCAGCGCCCUCUACGCGUAGCUCGCUGGAGGCAUUACUGUUUAUAUUUUUCCACUGUAUCUAUCGAAAACGUACGUAGUACGUACGCAAGUACGAAGUAAAAUUGAUAAUUGCAAGUGACAAAUUAAUUUCACUCGAAGACGAAAAUGAAAGGGAGAAAACACACAAAACACAGACACACGCUUAUUAAGUAUUUAAAUAUAAGCUAGGUAGACGAAGGAAACUAGGAUCUGCGAUUAUAUCGCGGAUAAUGAGAAUAAAGAAAGGGGUCUAUGUAUGUAUAUAAGGUGAAUCGAUGAAAAAUUUGUUAAAUCGAAACUAGGUACGUCGUGUACUUGAGGCUUUUGGUGUGGUACCUUCGUUUCAAGUGUGAAAGGUGUACACCAAGAGAUGUGAGUUGUUGCUAAUGUUUUUAGUGGCUAAACGAUAUUACAAUGAUGAAGACAAAUAAUGAAAGGAUCAUUUCGUUUUAAUGUCAUUUUUUUUUUUUAAGAAAUUUUCACAAGAACUGAGAGUUGUAACCAUGCGAGUAGUAGGAGUUUAUCGACGAAAUGUUCAUUAAAGCAUUAUCUGCUCUAGAAGGUGAUUAAAUAUGCUUUUUUUUUUUUUGUAAUCCAUCAUUGCAUUCUUUUGAUGGUUUUUGAUAUUGUACUCGAAAUCAUGAAGCUCUGUACGAAUAAACAAUUGUUUAGUUCGAACGUUGAAUUUUUAAUUUAAAAGAGUUCUCGUGCAAUCGAUUGUACAAUUUUAUUUAACUUUCUACUCAAAUCACAUAACAGUUAAGGAUACAGAAUAUUUAGAAGCAUGUGUACCUAAUAAAUUUUCGUUAGUUGGCAAUUAUUGUUUUAUUGCGUCAUAACUAUUAAGUAUGGCAUUUAGUACGGCGGUGAAAAAAAAAAGAAGAAAACUACAGAUUUUGGCUCACCGUUGAAAAGUUACACUGAUAUUCCUGAUAAAGUGCAAAGUAGCAACCGGUAGCAAAUGCGUCAAUUAGAUCUUUAGUUAAAUAUAAUUUUCAAAAAGACUAUCAUAGAGUUACGUGAGCGUGAGGUGCGGUACUUUGGACUGGAAAAUAUUGGUUACUGAAAAAUAGAAUGUAUCAGAAUAAGUUGCGGUGCAACGAAUCAUACGCUGUCUACGAGAUAACAUGUCUUAACUAAUUUCAAAUAUUAAAUAACGAUUAGGAUUUUAAAAAAGAAAAACGGAGGUACGAGAAAUCGCACUACGUUGGCUUUUAUCGUCCAUUCGCACUCGUAGACUCUCUUGUCUUAUAAAACUAUAAUUGAAUAAUUUAAGUAACACACGACUACACGAUUGUUACAAGAGCUGGUAAUAUCGCAGUUAUUUAUUUAUUUAUGACAGUCAAAGGCCUAUUAACAAAUAUUUGUGCUCGUACUCAGCGAAUCCUCGUACACUCUUAUCUUGAAUUUAUUGUUCUCCCGCGGAAAAAUUAUUCGGUCUUUCAUAUAUCUCUGCGAUUAAGAAAAAUGAAAUAAAUGCGUACGAAAUAAACACCGUUCAAUUGUA